rnacentral:rRNA from 1 species
GACGAACGCUGGCGGCGUGCUUAACACAUGCAAGUCGAACGGAAAGGCCUGCUUUCCCUUGUGGAUUGCGGGUACUCGAGUGGCGAACGGGUGAGUAACACGUGAGUGAUCUGCCCCCAACUUGGGUAUAAGCCUGGGAAACUGGGUCUAAUUCCCGAUAGGACUGCAGGGUGGUGCCUGUUGUGGAAAACGAUUUUCUAGUGGUUGGGGAUGAGCUCGCGGCCUAUCAGCUUGUUGGUGGGGUAAUGGCCUACCAAGGCGGCGACGGGUAGCCGGCCUGAGAGGGUGGACGGCCACAUUGGGACUGAGAUACGGCCCAGACUCCUACGGGAGGCAGCAGUGGGGAAUAUUGCACAAGGGGCGGAAGCCUGAUGCAGCGACGCCGCGUGGGGGAUGACGGCCUUCGGGUUGUAAACUCCUUUCGACCGCGAGGAAGCCACCUGGUUGGAAGGGUGGUGACGGUAGUGGUAGAAGAAGCACCGGCUAACUACGUG